CCCUAGGAUUGGAAUGUGACUGGAAAGGAAGAAAGCAAGGCAAGCUGCUUGCAGAAUGAGGAGAGGUUGAAACAAGUCUCUGCACCAGACACAAUGCAUUGCCCUUGAAAAAUCUACAGGUAUUAAACCUUACUGCUUGAGGUGAUUAUCAAUAUAGGGCCAUCGUGUAUACCAUAAAUGAUACUUGCUGAACACAAGGAUGGGGAACUUUCUGUCAAUCCAAUGGCCAAAAAGAAAGUCAAUGGAGAAAGGCAAGAUCGUCAUCCAGGCCCAUCUUCGAGGGCCUGAGCUGUGUUGCCUUGGUUGUGGCAAGGACUAGGCUGUUGCUGCUUGAUCGCCUGUUCCAGCUGUCCAGGAGAGGAGACACUGAAGUGUUGUGGGAGAGCCCCUACGGGGCACACUGGAAUCCGUACACAAGUUGGGGGUUGGCCCCUCCUGUUGGUGCUGCCCUCUGGUGUUUGCUCAGUGAAAGAACAAGCUUGACCAGGACAACUUGCCAAUAAUUCCACAGUCAUGCCACUCAGAGACUUGGGCUAUAUUAUUAUUUUGUUUUUUAUGACAGUAUACUUUUCUGAAGUCUUAACCAUAUGUGUGCAAUUUAUGCUAUAUGCUGUUGGUAAUAUGUUUUGUACCUUGGCCCCAGAGGAACGCUGUUUCAUUUGGCCAGAUUCAUGUAUCGUUGACUGAUAAUUAAACUUGAACUUUCUGCUAUUCCUUGGCCACUGAAAUGAGAAAAGAUACAAGGAUAUUAUCAUAGUGUGAGGAGACAGCAGCCUGUUUCUUUGCUGAAUAACUGUAAUAUUGCAGGAUCAAGGGGAAGUGGAUUGUGUAGAGGAAGAUAUAAGCAUUGAUCUUUGCAGCUCAUUGGUUCUGUGUUAACAGAAUUGCUGGCCUUAAGAAAUACUGACCACUCAGCCAGUGGUGGUGGUGGGGUUGGGGGUGGUGGUGAGUGGCUCGAU